CCAUCAUUCGUCUCCGUCUCUCGACAAAAUCACAUCUAAGAAGCAUUUCAAAGAUAAGAUCAAAUCAAAUCAAAUCUUCAAAGAUUAAUGAAAGGUGAAAGCGAAAAUCAGAAUGCGAAAUUUGCUGAUCAGUUCGAGACUGACCUUCCUGUUGAAGGUGAUCCAAACACUAAUGAUGAUGUUGUAGACGUCUAUUUCUUUAUGAACUAAAGAAGUUUGAUCAAGAAACAUUCAGGGGCUACUGCUACUUUGCUGCGAUAAUUAUGUAUUGUCAACCAUAUCAGUUUGUUAAAUAUGAGGGCGUUGAACUCUAUUUCGUUA